rnacentral:rRNA from 1 species
AUCAUAGUCCAAAUCUGAGUUUGAUCCUGGCUCAGAAGGAACGCUAGCUAUAUGCUUAACACAUGCAAGUCGAACGUUGUUUUCGGGGAGCUGGGCAGAAGGAAAAGAGGCUCCUAGCUAAAGUUGUCUCGCCCUGCUUCAAAACUACAGGGCGCGCGCUACGGCUUUGACCUAACGGCCUCCGUUUGCUGGAAUCGGAAUAGUUGAGAACAAAGUGGCGAACG